GACGCCGCGUGGGGGAUGAAGGCCUUCGGGUUGUAAACCCCUUUUCAGGGGGACGAUAAGUCCGGGAGGCAAUUCCCGGAUGAUGACGGUACCCCUGGAAGAAGCCACGGCUAAUCUGUGCCAGCAGCCGCGGUAAGACAGAGGCGGCGAGCGUUACCCGGAUUCACUGGGCGAAAGGGUGUGUAGGCGGUCGCGUGUGUCCCUGGUGAAAUCUCCCUGCUCAACGGGGAGAGUCCAAGGAAACUACGCGGCUGGAGGGCCGGAGAGGGAGGCGGAACUUCCAGAGUAGCGUGAAAUGCGUAGAUACUGGAAGGUACCUCCAUAGCGAAGGCAGCCUCUUGGCCGGUUCUGACGCUGAGGCACGAAAGCGUGGGGAGCAAACCGGAUUAGAUACCCGGGUAGUCCCGCCCUAAACGAUGCCGACUAGGUGUUGGCCUCGCACAUGCUGGGCCAGUGCCGCAGCAACGCGGUAAGUCGUCCGCCUGGGGUGUACGGCCGCAAGGUUGAAACUCAAAUGAAUUGCGGG
rnacentral:rRNA from 1 species